UUACUUUCAUAUUUAUCCUUUUCAUCCUCUCCUUAUCUUUCUUUUUUGCUCUUUUCUCCUUUUCCUUUCAUGUUUCUUGCCUUCUUUAAUCUUUUCUCAGCCAAUAACUAAGUGCUUGCAUAUUUUCUCUUUCAACUCUCAAUUUUGUUUAAUCCAGCACAAGCAGCCUCACUGCCUAAAUCACCAGGACGCAGAUAAGGGUCCCAGACACCUAUAAAUCCACUGGCUACUUUGACAACCAUGGCUGAUAGAGAAAUAUCUAUCCUCAUACAAUAAGUGAUGAUGACAGCUUUUAUUGAUUUUGCACAAAAUGGAUUUCUUUGGGACUUCCUUUACUAGUCUUCCUUUAAUUAUCUGCAAAUUUGAUCUUAUUUAGUAAAACUUGAAAUUUUCUUAUAUAGGCAUUGUUCCUAAUAGUUAGACUUUGGUCAGACACACUAAAGAUUGCUGGCCAUUAUCCUCGUCCUCAUUCUAUAUAUAUAUAUAUAGGGGAUUGAUAACCUACUCUCUGCUAUGCUAGGUUAUCAAUCUACCCAUUUUUCAUUGGACAAAAAAUAUCCUUACUUUUUAUAAUUUUUAAAGGUAUUUUAUAUCUUUUUACAAUCCCAUAUUAACUCACCCUCUCAA
rnacentral:lncRNA from 1 species